AUUGAACGCUGGCGGCAUGCUUUACACAUGCAAGUCGAACGGCAGCGCGGGCUUCGGCCUGGCGGCGAGUGGCGAACGGGUGAGUAAUGCAUCGGAACGUGCCCAGUAGUGGGGGAUAGCCCGGCGAAAGCCGGAUUAAUACCGCAUACGACCUGAGGGUGAAAGCGGGGGACCGAAGGGCCUCGCGCUAUUGGAGCGGCCGAUGUCGGAUUAGCUAGUUGGUGGGGUAAAGGCUUGCCAAGGCGACGAUCCGUAGCUGGUCUGAGAGGACGACCAGCCACACUGGGACUGAGGCACGGCCCAGACUCCUACGGGAGGCAGCAGUGGGGAAUUUUGGACAAUGGGGGCAACCCUGAUCCAGCCAUGCCGCGUGCGGGAAGAAGGCCUUCGGGUUGUAAACCGCUUUUGUUCGGGAAGAAAUCCUCUGGGCUAAUACCCCGGGGGGAUGACGGUACCGGAAGAAUAAGCACCGGCUAACUACGUG
rnacentral:rRNA from 1 species